UAAAGCUCAACUGGGUUUGGAGCAUUUGCUUCCAAUGGACCUCAUUUCCAUGGCUGCCAAGUGGAGUGGGUUCCUCUUCACAGUUAUCCUCGAAGUCUUCACAACAUAGCAGCUGAUGUUCCCCAGGGUCAGUGCUACCCUUGAGACCCAGGGGAAGAGCUGCAAUGCCUUUUAUGACCUAGCCUCAGAUGUCACACAAGGUUACUUCUACAAUGUUCUAUCACACACAAAAACUAAUCCUGAUUCACAGAAGAGGACUAUACAUGGGAAUGAAUUCCAGGAGACCCCCAACACCUUGCACUGAAAGUUCCUCCUGAGGCAAAUGCAACUGUAUCCCGACAACAGAUCAAAUGAAUCAAACCAGAUGGCAGAUGCCUCCAGGCCGACCAGCACGGAAUGCCUCACUCGGCACUUUUGCUUCAACUUCCAUUUGGGUGUGGACAGGCACUGGAAAAGGCCAGAGUUGGAAGAGAGAGAAGUGUGGGGCUCUCCCCCUGGGCUACGUCUCCGUUGGGCAGCUCCAGUUUCACAGACGUUUGACCUGUACAGCCGCCCGGGGCCCUGUGCUUGGAAGGGCGCCAUGCUUGCUUUAAUGCUCUGCUGGCCUCAUCCUGGAGUUCUUAGUAGUUUUUGAACAAGUGGCCCUUUUUUUUUUUCAUUUUGUGCUGGGCCCUGCAAAUUAUAUCACCAGUUCUGCUUUCAGGCUUCACGCCGAGGUGGCAAUGUCCCUCUACCAAACGCACAGCUCUUGUCUGCACCCUCUUUCCUACAGCAGCUGCUGGGUUCCAGCACCUGGUUAUUCUCUCGCCUCAGCGGUACUACAAGUGAUGGGAGGUUCCUGCAGUUGCUGCCCUGGGUGCUUCGCCAGCCCCGCUCGUCUUCUUUGGCCCUGCCUACCUUUCCUAUAGGCCCUUUGUGAACUCACACCAGCCCUUCCAAGAGUGCUGUUUCCUCUCAGGACCCGCACUAAUAAACA